rnacentral:rRNA from 1 species
CCUACGGGGUGCAGCAGUGGGGAAUAUUGGACAAUGGGCGAAAGCCUGAUCCAGCCAUGCCGCGUGUGUGAAGAAGGCCUUCGGGUUGUAAAGCACUUUCAGUGGGGAAGAAAGCCUUGGGGCUAAUACCCUCGAGGAAGGACAUCACCCACAGAAGAAGCACCGGCUAACUCCGUGCCAGCAGCCGCGGUAAUACGGAGGGUGCGAGCGUUAAUCGGAAUUACUGGGCGUAAAGCGCGCGUAGGCGGUCUGAUAAGCCGGUUGUGAAAGCCCCGGGCUCAACCUGGGAACGGCAUCCGGAACUGUCAGGCUAGAGUGCAGGAGAGGAAGGGAGAAUUCCCGGUGUAGCGGUGAAAUGCGUAGAGAUCGGGAGGAAUACCAGUGGCGAAGGCGGCCUUCUGGACUGACACUGACGCUGAGGUGCGAAAGCGUGGGUAGCAAACAGGAUUAGAUACCCGUGUAGUC